GCCUGGGUGGCUCAGUCGGUUGAGCGUCCGACUUCAGCUCAGGUCAUGAUCUCACAGCUUGUGGGUUUGAGCCCCGUGUCAGGCU
rnacentral:tRNA from 1 species